rnacentral:misc_RNA from 1 species
GCACUAUCAAGACCCCCGCAUGCAACCGAUUGCCCAGUAGGAGAAAAGGCACAAGUCAUGACCCAGGCACAAUGAAGUUUUAUGGCGUGUGUUUUCUGGCUUGUUAAAGCAUUCCAUACAAUCAACCUCCCAUCUUGAGAAGCACUAACUAUCCUAUUUCUCUCAGAUGUCCAGUCUAGCGAAUAAACCUUCCCUGUAUGCCCCUGCAACGUCCGGCAGC